AUAUAAUAAUAGCAAUAAAGGAGAAGAUCAUGUCAGCAAGCAUUCUUAGGUGAAGGGACCACAACCAAGCAUGUAGAAUAAUUUAAAAGUACUGUAUAUAUUUUAAAAUUAUGUCAAGAUGUUAUACAUGUGCAUUGGUUCAGCAACUUGUGUCAGUCUGUGGCCCUUCUCAUCGAAUGGCAGCAGGCGCAUAUAGUCUUUUGGCUGUAGUGCUCUACCAUACCGGGGAUUUUAAUCAGGCUACUAUCUAUCAGCAAAAAGCUUUGGAUAUCAAUGAGAGAGAGUUUGGACUUGAUCAUCCAGAUACAAUGAAGAGUUAUGGAGACCUAGCUGUUUUUUACUAUCGGCUCCAACACACAGAACUAGCCUUGAAGUAUGCCUUAAGAGUAUUUCGUAUCCUAAGCUUUUCUCCUUAGUGUAGUGUUGCUACUCUUUUUGUUUAAUAUCACACUCACUUCUUUGAUUCUCUGAUCAGUACUUGUUAUCUCUAUUGUCUUGUGCUAUGUUCCCUGUGUCUCUUGCACAUAUUAAGAGAUAUGAACUCCACAUGGAAUUAACUUUUGAACUACUUGAAUUCUUGAAACUCAAAAUUAAUUCAAGAUUGCUGGGAAAGUGAAAAGUCAAUUUGCACUGUUUUGAAUGUGGUUGAAAUAGCAUAAUGAUUUUCAAUUGAUUCAGAUUCUAUUUGUUCACGGAAAUGGAGGAGCAGUAGAUAUUUUGCAAAACUGCUCUGGUGAAACGAUCCUUGGGAGUUAUUUUAUUUUAAUUGAUAUGAAUAUUUUUGUUCAAGCUGUAGUCCUAGUUGUCAUUAUUCAAAUUUUUACGGUUAAGUAUGGUUAGACCAUGCACUUUCAUCCCUAUUCUGGGGUCUCGUAGUUCAGUCUACUUGACUGUGCCCCAGGCAAGAGUGGCUAAUGUAGUUUUUCAAUAUUUUCUAAAGCUCCUUCUCAAGUUUUUACAAAAAAAAAAAAAAAAAAAUAGAUACAAUGAUGG